rnacentral:rRNA from 1 species
UGGGGAAUAUUGGACAAUGGGCGAAAGCCUGAUCCAGCCAUGCCGCGUGUGUGAAGAAGGUCUUCGGAUUGUAAAGCACUUUAAGUUGGGAGGAAGGGCAGUAAGCGAAUACCUUGCUGUUUUGACGUUACCGACAGAAUAAGCACCGGCUAACUCUGUGCCAGCAGCCGCGGUAAUACAGAGGGUGCAAGCGUUAAUCGGAAUUACUGGGCGUAAAGCGCGCGUAGGUGGUUCGUUAAGUUGAAUGUGAAAGCCCCGGGCUCAACCUGGGAACUGCAGCCAAAACUGGCGAGCUAGAGUAGGGCAGAGGGUGGUGGAAUUUCCUGUGUAGCGGAGAAAUGCGUAGAUAUAGGAAGGAACACCAGUGGCGAAGGCGACCACCUGGGCUCAUACUGACACUGAGGUGCGAAAGCGUGGGGAGCAAACAGG